rnacentral:rRNA from 1 species
UUUAUGGAGAGUUUGAUCCUGGCUCAGGACGAACGCUGGCGGCGUGCCUAAUACAUGCAAGUCGAGCGAAUGACGAGAAGCUUGCUUCUCUGAUUUAGCGGCGGACGGGUGAGUAACACGUGGGCAACCUGCCCUGUAGACUGGGAUAACUUCGGGAAACCGGAGCUAAUACCGGAUAAUCCAUUUUACCUCAUGGUGAAAUGUUGAAAGAUGCGUUUGCAUCACUACAGGAUGGGCCCGCGGUGCAUUAGCUAGUUGGUGGGGUAACGGCCUACCAAGGCAACGAUGCAUAGCCGACCUGAGAGGGUGAUCGGCCACAUUGGGACUGAGACACGGCCCAAACUCCUACGGGAGGCAGCAGUAGGGAAUCUUCCACAAUGGACGAAAGUCUGAUGGAGCAACGCCGCGUGAGUGAUGAAGGUUUUCGGAUCGUAAAACUCUGUUGUAAGGGAAGAACAAGUACGUUAGGAAAUGAACGUACCUUGACGGUACCUUAUUAGAAAGCCACGGCUAACUACGUGCCAGCAGCCGCGGUAAUACGUAGGUGGCAAGCGUUGUCCGGAUUUAUUGGGCGUAAAGCGCGCGCAGGCGGUUUCUUAAGUCUGAUGUGAAAGCCCACGGCUUAACCGUGGAGGGUCAUUGGAAACUGGG